rfam:Pristionchus pacificus strain PS312 contig2475, whole genome shotgun sequence.
UCUUCACUUCCCACACUCUCUCACCGGACAGAGUGACGAGAGAGUGCGCGAAAUGAAGAGA